rnacentral:lncRNA from 1 species
UGACGUACGGCUAGAUACUAUUGCAGCUUGUCACUCGGAGCUAGUGCUAUUCAUUAUGUGGUGUUUAAUCGUAUUCGGUAACCUACCUUAAUCGUAUUCUGCAACUACUGUUUUGGACUUUGCCAGUGUGGUGCUGCAACUUUGAGUAAGCAUGUUCUACUGUGUUGGUCGUUUGCUUGUAUCCUUGACAGUUAAUGCAACGUGGCAGGGCGGAUCGAAAUGUUUAAUUGUAGUACUCCUGAGAUGCACUUUGCUUCUGAAUUUCUGUUUGUUCUUCACUUACCAAAAUGCAUCAAAAUGCAUAUCGUUUGGUAUUAGAAGAGAGGAUAUAAACUG